GAUGAACGCUGGCGGCGUGCUUAACACAUGCAAGUCGAACGAUGAAGCCGGGUGCUUGCACUUGGUGGAUUAGUGGCGAACGGGUGAGUAACACGUGAGCAACCUGCCCCUGACUCUGGGAUAAGCGCUGGAAACGGCGUCUAAUACCGGAUAUGUACCGUGGUCGCAUGAUCUGCGGUUGGAAAGAUUUUUCGGUGGGGAUGGGCUCGCGGCCUAUCAGCUUGUUGGUGAGGUAAUGGCUCACCAAGGCGUCGACGGGUAGCCGGCCUGAGAGGGUGACCGGCCACACUGGGACUGAGACACGGCCCAG
rnacentral:rRNA from 1 species